rnacentral:rRNA from 1 species
UGGGGAAUAUUGCACAAUGGGCGCAAGCCUGAUGCAGCAACGCCGCGUGAGGGACGACGGCCUUCGGGUUGUAAACCUCUUUUGGCAGGGAAGAAGCGAAAGUGACGGUACCUGCAGAAAAAGCACCGGCUAACUACGUGCCAGCAGCCGCGGUGAUACGUAGGGUGCAAGCGUUGUCCGGAAUUAUUGGGCGUAAAGAGCUCGUAGGCGGUUUGUCGCGUCUGCUGUGAAAACCCGAGGCUCAACCUCGGGCCUGCAGUGGGUACGGGCAAACUAGAGUGCGGUAGGGGAGAUUGGAAUUCCUGGUGUAGCGGUGGAAUGCGCAGAUAUCAGGAGGAACACCGAUGGCGAAGGCAGAUCUCUGGGCCGUAACUGACGCUGAGGAGCGAAAGCAUGGGGACCGAACA